UACGAGUGGCCCAAGCGUUAUCCGGAAUUAUUGGGCGUAAAGGAUGUGUAGGUGGUUAUGUUAGUCGAACGUCUAACCUCUGUGCUCAACAUGGAGACAGCGUUCGAAACGGCAUGACUAGAGUAUAGUAGGGGUAAGCGGAACUCAUAGUGUAGGGGUGAAAUCCGUUGAUAUUAUGGGGAACACCAAAAGCGAAGGCAGCUUACUGGACUAUUACUGACACUGAAACAUGAAAGCGUGGGUAGCGAAUGGG
rnacentral:rRNA from 1 species